UUGUCCAUUACUGUGCAAGUAUUAACUUCUUCAUAACCCUAAAAAUCAGCCUUUGAUUGAACAGAGGUUAGUCACAGAAGAGCUGAAUAACACCUUGAAUCCAAUUAAAAUCUCUCAGUUACAUACUUUGUCAGGUCUUGUAAAUGCUUGAUUUCUUAGCAUUACCCUCCACCUUUCCUCUUUUCUUUUUUUCUUCUGUUAUUUCUUGUACCUACCUGUUGGGUCGACAGCUCUUAACGAUGGCUGCUUGUUUGUGACUCGCUCUCACCAUGACUUGUUAUUGAAGACUGCCUCCCUGACAGUGUUUCCAUGACCCUUUGAAUUUCCACAAUUGUAAAUGGCUGUGCUCGGUACAGUGGGUGACAGUAAUUUUACAAAAGCUGCACUGAGAUUCUGAGGCAGACCACAGCGUGCUGACCAAUCUCCCUGCUACAGGAGCUCUUUCACGAGGUGUUAUCUAUAUCCUCAUUAAAUCUGUGAAACUUGAAGCUGACUGAGGAGCUGACUAACAGGGAGGAGAGGAGAAAAAAAGACAGAUGUAGUAGAAGACAGGUGCAUGACUUUUAAGUCCUUAAUUCACAAGAUGGGAUCCAAAGCUGAAAGCUAUGUCUGUGUUUUUCUGUUCAAACCAGGAAGGCAUUUGGAUGUCCCAGGGAGUUACCUGAAAAACCUUUGUACUCCUACCUGUGUUUAUUCUAUCAACUUUAACCUUGCAGUUGUAGUGCCUGUGCUUCUUUUACAGUCACCAGAGUCCUGCAUCUCUAGGAGAAAAAGAUCAUAUCUAGCCUCUGAACUGAGCUUUCUGGCUGCCUCCAAUGACCUUCAACCAAACAUAGAUACAAGCUUAGGUACCUCUGCUGUGUAUUUAAAGUGUAGUUUGUCCUUAUGCACAAGUACCUGAGGACCCACCACAGUGAAGGUCUCCCUAAGAAUGAGGACAUAAGAAGGGAAACAACUUUUCUUAAAAAAACUUACGUGAGGACUGAGGGAGGUUGCAUUUGACUGAGACAUUCUGAGGAUCCUUGAAGGAUGGAAAAAUGUGAACUUUUAAAGAAGCUGGAUAUACACCACACUGGAUGGCUUCUGUUGAUUCUCUGUUCUUUAAAGUUUUCUACCACUUGAGUAAUUCUGGUAUUGUUUCCUUGGUCUCUGAUAAACUUUGUCUAUGAAACCUUGGCAUCUUUCUCAGAAACAGGUUUUAAAUGUCUAGAAGCUUGAACUAGCCAGGAACAAUGAUGAUCCCUCACACACUGUUCCUCACUGUUUCUCAAAGCUCUGGCUGUGUGGAUAUGCAAGUAGCAAGUGGUCUAGAAAAUGGUAACACUUUGUUACCUUGCACGAGAAAUCAGAACCAGAAUGUCUCCGUCUAUACACACAUACUCCAAUUUUCUCCUUUGGAACUCUCCUUGGGCUUGGAAUGCCCAGAAUCUUCUUUCUGCAGCAAUGGUAUCUCUUUUCCCUCAGGGUCUCUGUUCUGGCAUGUAACUAUCUUUCUGCCUCCCCUCCCAGACUCAUCUCUCUUUCUAUAUUUAGACCAAAACCUUCUGCGUCAAUUAAAACUUUUAUUUGCCUUUUUAGAUUAUCCACAUCCCCACUCAAUAACUUCCUGCUUGGCUACUUCUCUCUUUAAGAAGAGAAGUGGAAGAGUUCAGCCAUUCUGUGGUUUUCAUGCUGACUCCUUUUUUGUGGUUAGCCUGGAGAUAGAAAGAGCCUGAGCUGGACUGGAUGAAUUGCUCUGGGAGCUCAUAGCCUCUUCCCUAACAUUUUCCCUUCUAAAGAUUGAAUGGGCUCUUCCAUCUUGAGUAUGAAAUGUAUUCCUUGCAGCUGACAUACCUAGGAUCUCCUUGCUGCGGUCUGAGACGUGUGAGAAGCUGAUGCUUGUGCACAGUCCCACCACAUGGCCAGAAGUCUGCAAUAGUGCACAUCUGGUAGAGGAAGGACCUCGGUAAUGUUGCAUGUAUGGUUUUAUGAGUGACAAAGUUAGCAGUGAAUAGCUGCCCAAUGUCACCAUAACAGGUUAUGUGACACACGCUGGCAGAAAGAUGGCAUUCCUGCCCAGCUAUUAGCCCUGAAUCACCAUCCUUGAGAAUUUCAGAACAAAAUAAAAAUGAAGAGAUAAAACAACCAAUGAUGGGGGAAGGAAAACUCUGUAUGUGAAGUGAAAUUGUAGUCUUCAUGAAUUAAACACAGGGAAUUAAUAAUAUCAAACUAUUUUCAAAUUGUACCUACAGAGAUUCCACAAAUCAUUGCAUAACAAUUUACAGCCAGUCACACUGAAAUAAUAAAUAGGCACAAAGUUUUAAUUUCCCGGUCCUUUUAUGCAUAAAGAACUGAGCAUUUAAAUUAUUACUGACAUUAUCCUUCAUGCAAUUUCUGUAGAGCAGUCAACAAAGAACUCAUGACCUCACUACAUCUGUCAUACUGUAUUGGAUUGGGCCAGCAUUCAGUAGUGACCCUAAAGACUGUAAAGGCUGUAAAAGGCAUACAAGUGCAUGUAUGGCCUUUGCAAACAUUUGAUGAUAAAUUGAGGUGGCAUUAAUUCCCAAAUAAUUAAUUAUGAAUUGUUCAUCCAUUCUCUUAAUUAAAAAGUUCUUCACAAGUUUUAUCUUCCCUGUUUGGUAUCCUAUGAUUUACUGCUGAAGCAUCUCCCUGUUAAAAGAGAGCUUGCUGUUUCCAGAGAGAGUUGUAUAGAAUGAAUAAUGAAGUACUUUUUAUUAAAUGACUGUGGAAAUCAAAAUCUCACUACCAGUAUUUCAUGGAGGGUUUAUCUUAGAAGAAAGGACAUGCUCAUGGGAUUGAACCAGUGUGACAAGAAAUCUCCAGCAGUAGAGAUGAUAAUCUGCCUCUACAAAAUGAGAGACAUGCUUGUGUGAUAAAUAAUACUUGCUUUGAAAAGCAAAUGCAAUACUUGCCCAUUCAAUUUCCCAGGCUUGAAUGUAUACACAGUCUUACCCAAACAAACCAAUUGCUUCACUUCUGUUAUUUCUUA